rnacentral:rRNA from 1 species
UACGUAGGUGGCAAGCGUUGUCCGGAUUUAUUGGGCGUAAAGCGCGCGCAGGCGGUUUCUUAAGUCUGAUGUGAAAGCCCUCGGCUUAACCGAGGAGGGUCAUUGGAAACUGGGAGACUUGAGUGCAGAAGAGGAAAGUGGAAUUCCAAGUGUAGCGGUGAAAUGCGUAGAGAUUUGGAGGAACACCAGUGGCGAAGGCGACUUUCUGGUCUAUAACUGACGCUGAGGCGCGAAAGCGUGGGGAGCAAACAGG